CCUACGGGAGGCAGCAGGGGGGAAUAUUGGACAAUGGGGGCAACCCUGAUCCAGCCAUGCCGCGGGUGUGAAGAAGGCCCUCGGGUUGUAAAGCACUUUCAGUGAGGAAGAACGCCUGGUGGUUAAUACCCAUCAGGAAAGACAGCACUCACAGAAGAAGCACCGGCUAACUCCGUGCCAGCAGCCGCGGUAAUACGGAGGGUGCGAGCGUUAAUCGGAAUUACUGGGCGUAAAGCGCGCGUAGGUGGCUUGAUAAGCCGGUUGUGAAAGCCCCGGGCUCAACCUGGGAACGGCAUCCGGAACUGUCCAGCUAGAGUGCAGGAGAGGAAGGUAGAAUUCCCGGUGUAGCGGUGAAAUGCGUAGAGAUCGGGAGGAAUACCAGUGGCGAAGGCGGCCUUCUGGACUGACACUGACACUGAGGUGCGAAAGCGUGGGUAGCAAACAGGAUUAGAUACCCCUGUAGUC
rnacentral:rRNA from 1 species